CAAAAAAACAUUCUCUUCUAGAUCAGAGUCAAACCACCCAAGAUACUGUCAAGCGAACCAAAAAAAGAAAAAGAAAACAAAACAGCCUUCCAAAGUUGGCAGGCCUCCACAAAGCUGGAAGGACACCCACAGCAUUUGGAUUGCCACUUAUCACACUCAGGCACGCAAGAAAUGAAACCUCCAUAGCCUCAGGUCCACUCUCCACUGGUUACCCCUCCAGCAGUGUACUUAAGAAUUAGGUCUGUAAGAAAAGACAGAAAGAAAGACAGCUGGUUUCAGACCAUGUCGGUACCACAGAGGCAAGAAAAUCCUGCACAUUGCUGCUGCUGUUAGCACCGGACAAAGGACUUUUACCAGCGAUGCCUUCACCUCCAUCAGCUCUGGGUUCUCCUCAGAGUCUUUACUGGCAUGGAAGCUUGUGAAGUGCAGUGCAGGCCACC